GACGGGGGGGGCAAGUGUUCUUCGGAAUGACUGGGCGUAAAGGGCGCGUAGGCGGUUUGUACAGUCAGGUGUGAAAUUCCCGGGCUCAACCUGGGGGCGGCACUUGAGACGUAGGAACUGGAGUGAGGAAGAGGGUCGUGGAAUUCCCGGUGUAGCGGUGAAAUGCGCAGAUAUCGGGAAGAACACCCGUGGCUAAGGCGGCUCUCUAGUACGGUACUGACGCUGAGACGCGAAAGCGUCGGGGAGGCGAACAGG
rnacentral:rRNA from 1 species